rnacentral:rRNA from 1 species
UGAGGAAUAUUGGUCAAUGGAGGAAACUCUGAACCAGCCAAGUCGCGUGAAGGAAGAAUGUCCUAAGGAUUGUAAACUUCUUUAGCGAGUGAGUAAGGACUUCCACGCGUUGGGAGUUUGAAAGUAGCUCGAGAAUAAGUAUCGGCUAACUCCGUGCCAGCAGCCGCGGUAAUACGGAGGAUACGAGCGUUAUCCGGAUUUAUUGGGUUUAAAGGGUGCGCAGGUGGUCCUGCAAGUCAGUGGUGAAAAGCUGAGGCUCAACCUCAGCCUUGCCGUUGAAACUGCAAGACUUGAGAGUACAUGAUGUGGGCGGAAUGCGUAGUGUAGCGGUGAAAUGCAUAGAUAUUACGCAGAACUCCGAUUGCGAAGGCAGCUCACAAAGGUAUAUCUGACACUGAGGCACGAAAGCGUGGGGAGCAAACAGG